GUAAAAUGGACAAGAGUCUUAGAUUGCCUAAGACAAGACAAAUCUACACAUACUACUACUGAGAUGCCAGUGAUCCUGACCCCUUCUGCUCUCCAUACCUGCCUGAUCCAUCCUGAUGCCCUACAUCUGGUUGAGUUCUCAUCACUUGGAAAUCACUCACUGUUGCUGGGUGCAGCCUAAAGGCUGGAAGGUAUCCGAAAAGAGACUGGGGAAGAACAAGGAGGCGGUUGAAGAAGCAGGAGCAGUGAUGACGCAGAUAGGAUAAAUCUGUUGGGAUGCCCAUCUCCUGAUGUGGCCCGCAACAAAACAAUCACUCUACGCUGCACAAAACCAUACAAGAUUGGAACAUGGAAAGUGAAUGUUCUGAAUGCAGGAAAAUCGGACAUUGGGAGAAUUAAUCGACUGAACAUCUAAAUACUGGG
ensembl:lncRNA